rnacentral:lncRNA from 1 species
UAAGCCUUUGUGGUAGAGGAAGAAAGAAAGUGAUGUCUUCCCCAUUUGGUGGCAUAAUGAUGGACCAUAGCAUGCCACUUAUGACGCUAUAGGCACAUUGUAAAGUGCCAACAAAAGCAGAAAAAACGAUACUGAAAAAAGAUAUCGUACGGUUUGGGAUUUGCGGGAAGAGUCAAAGACAACUCUUCCAUUUGGGUUUUGGGUAGCACGCGUACCUAUGACUGUAUGGGCCCUUUGCGUUUUAUAUAUUCUCAAUCUCAUCUCAUCUCAUCUCAAUUCUCUUCAUCCUGUUGAAAUCAUCAAGCACUCGCAAAAUAUAUAUAUAUAUUAGGAUAAUAGAUGAUGGAUGUCCUUUGAUCCAUUCAAUCAAUAUUAAUCUAAUAUGGUUGGGUUCAUCAAUAUUCAUACCAAAACCCGCAAUUUCCUUCAAAUUCAUUUUUUUAAUGUACAAGAUGAAAAGGUAAGGGUUAAUUAGUCACUGAAUUCAAUUAAAUUACUUCCUUGUAAUCUUAAUUAACUCUUUCUUUCUUUACAUAUUUACUAAGAAAAGUUAAAGUCAGUUUACUCAAGAUUUUCCUGCCAUCCUUUUUUUUUUUUCACAUAUUCUUUUUAUAUAUUUCAUAUAUUAUUUUUGUCCUAAUCUUUUACUUUUAAAUCUUGAUUAAUUUGAAGUUGGACUGGAAAGUAAAUAAAAUCUAAUAAAAAAAUAUUUUUUUUAAUGAUUGAACUUAAGUAAUAUUUAAAUAAUUCAAUGCAUUAACCAACACUUGAUUUUUAUAUUUUUCAUGUAUAAUCUAUAAUGUGUGUGUUAUAAUAUUAUUUAUAGUUAAUAAAAAUAAAAAUUAAGAAAUAGUAGCAAAAUAACACUUUAUUUUUAUACACAUGAAAUGAUUUAAUAAAACUAUUAUCUUGUUAUUUAUAUAAAAUGAUAAUAAUAUCUUUAUUUAUUAUCUUACCUACACCCAACUCUGUUAUUACCAAUUUACCAAAAUAAUGGUUAAGAAUAUUAAAAUCCCCCCAAAUAAAUUUAGAAAAUGAAAAGUUAGAAAGAUAGAGGGAAGAAGAGCAAAAUGGAAGAGGUUAAGGAGAGAUAAUUGUGAAAGGUUUUGAAAUUGAUAAUAAUCAUCAUGUUGAUAAUAAAUUUUAUUUUAAAGUGAUAUAAAAAUAUAAAAAAAAAGAUUUAAUGAAAUAUAUCACCACAAUAAAACUUGUCAAGUAAUAAUUUGAAUUAACAAUAGAUAUUUAAAAAAAAAAUACAUAUAGUCUUUUGCGGGGUCCUAAAAUAAUUGGAAGCUUUAAACGAUCAUUUGCAUAAAAUUAGUCAUGACCCUAUGUAUAAUCUACAAUUUUUAUAUAAAUAGUUUAAUUUCUGUUAGAUAAAUAUUAAUCUAAUAAAAACCAUUAUAACACUUACUAAUACUAGCUUUGUCCCUUAAUAAAUGAUACUACUAUUUUGUUAUUGUACUGUAAUGAAUUUCUUUUGUUUCAAUAAAUUACUCCAAAGUUUACCAAUGAUGGCAGUGAAGUUAAUCUUUAAGCUGCUGAUGAGAAGUUCGUAACUUACACUUUACUUGAGCACAUGCAAAAAGUGUUAACAGGCUGAUGUAGAACAAAAACUUGGAUUAAAGUCCAAAGAGGCUGACUUUAAUAAAGACUGAGUUGCAUGUGUUUUUGUGCUUUGUUCAUGUUUUUCUCAGAUGCAGGCUUUUCUCCUACAUUAUUAUCUUUGAUGUCCAACUCCAAGUUCGUUGCAACAUUCAGCAAUUGCUCUGCUCCCCUCCUAAUUUCUUUUAGAUCUUGGAAUCUAAUUCAGUCUCAGGCUUUGGAGUAAAGUGAGACGCAGAACAUCUUCCUUUCAACUUUAUAGCUGGUUUGAUUUAAAAAAGAAUAAACCGAUAGAAAGACUUUAAAUAUUGCUCUAGUUACUUGCUAUCUUUUUUUCGUUGGUAAAUAAUUACUUGUUAUCUAAAGAUCAAUAAACUUUGCAGCUAGUUCUUUAUUUUAUAAAUAUUCUUUUGUCAAGUUGAGCACUCGAGCUUAGUAUGUUUCUAAGCCAGAAAGACAACACACUCUUGACAUAAUACAUAUGGAUAGUGUCAUCCUUGUGUAUAUAGAUUAUAUGUCCAGACCUAAUUUUCGAUUGGACUAAUUUUAUUUGUGAACCCAACUUAGUCUUGAAUCAACUGAAUACUAAUCUAAAAUUGAUCUAGCUUGAAAUUUAGACAAAACAUACACAUUUGAAUUGUAUAAUAUGAGAAAAAAAAUUAAAAUCAAGGAAUGUUUAGUAAUAUAUAUAUAUAUAUAUAUAUAUAUAUAUCUUUCUAAACAAAUUAUAUCGAUAUAAAAAAUAUUACAUAAUGCAAAAAAAGGUCAACAAGUGAAAUAUCUUAACACUAGUUUUUGGAAGAAAAAAAUUAUAACGGUUUAUAUAUUAUAAGCACUACAAAUCAAGUGUGUUUAACCUGUCUUCCCAGUUCCCGCUUCAUCAAAUUUGCUAAAUUCUUAACUAGAUGACUUCAUAAUUAUUAGCAUUAUUAAUGUGAUUUAAAACUGAGCACUUUGUGACAAUUUUCUAGCAAAUUACACUUGAUUCAACGAGAGCAUAAAGAAAAGAGCCAGAAAUCACAGUUGGAGGUUAAAGAAAAGAAUAUCGACUUCGAGUAUAUCACUUAUUUAUCACGAAUCAGGUUGUAAAAGUGCUAUGAAAAUUUUAUUAACUAAUCUGGUAAAUUACAGUAAUAUGACCUUAUACCCAAGAUGCAAACUCACGCAUCGCUGAUUCCUUUUUCAUUUUCCCCCGUAGGUUUUAGCAUUUUCCAUUCCUUUCUAAUUAAAGAAAUAUUUUUCAGACUUUUUUUUUCAAAGUCUCUAUUUUUAUUCCAACUUCCAAAAUGUACUUAUCCAUGUGUAGCUUCGGGUCAUAUGUAACUUGCUCGUUUUUUGCCUCGUUCAUUAGAAACCAGCCUCAAAUGAGGGCAUUUGUUUGCUACACCUUCCAUUUUGCAUUUUGCACCUCCUAAAAGACUCUAACGGAUAAAAAUACUUCUUUUAUCAGGUACUCCUAUUCGAGAAUGGUUAUUCUGAAAUACGAAAAAUUAUAUUUUGUAUUCCAAAAUAGGAUCUUAUUCCGAAAUAACCGUUCUGGAAUAGGCGACAGGAUCCUGACCCAUUUUUAAUCCGCCUUUACAAAGCUUUUGAUCUCGUUUCGCUUUUGAUUUUGCCCCCUAAAAAUGGUCACAUAAACCAGAUAAUGACGCCGGAGAAGCAGAUAUUGCUGGGGCUUUUGCUUGCGAAGCAUGUUUCAUUAGAAUCAGAUGCAAACACGAGCACAAACACAACAACCUCUCUCACGGUGGAGGAUCGGACCUUGUUGGUAAAAGAGGCGGUGGCACAAGGAUUGAAGGGGGAGAGGAGGUGCUAGGGAUAAGGAUAUUUUUUACCAUUUGAGACUUUUUGAACAAGAAACAAAUGCCCUGAUAUGGUUGUACAUAGAAUACAGUUGUUAUUGUAAGCCCAUAUACAAGUAUUUUGGGCCAUUAAAAAUAGGCAAUGACCCAAGAAUGUAGAAAAGUAAAGGUGCGACAGUAGAAUAGAAGCUGACACGAGAAUAAGAGUAUGAGAUUCGAUUUGGUGGUGCUUUCACGAUGUAAUCAAUCUUAACCCACAUUUUUGGAGUUUUGCUUCGGUUAAUUUGCCAUUUUCUUCACGGACAAACGAUAAUAGCAAGCCACCACGAGCACAGGCUGGUAGUUAUACAACAUGUGGCUGUGAAUGGAUGAACGGUUACUUUCAUAUUACUACUCACCUUCGAAUCUUUGUGGUUCCAGCAUGCUCUAUCAUCUACUUUUGUUGAGUUCAAUCAUCCUGUGUUUGUGUGUCUAUAUAUUGGAAAAACUUAGUUUUGAAUGCUAGCUAAUUGUUUGGAAAGCCUAAUAGUUAAAAUUUAAAUCAAGCAAACACUUAAUUGUAUCAUUUAGAUUAUUUUACAUGACAAAUUAUACAUUACAUGAUUUUUGUUUUUUGUUUUAGUAAUUAAUGUACAAUGUAUGAUAUUAGUAAUUAGUAGUGUUUUAAUUUUAAACGUGGAAGCUACGUGACCGAGCAAAGGAUCAGAGUGGGCCCGGGUAGCAGCCAUGGUUCAUGGUCAUCUGUUGCCACUUGCCACAUUGAAAAAAAAAAAAAGUUACCACUUGCCACGACUAUCUUGGAUAAAAAGGUUUUAUCUAAACCAAAUUUGUUUUUUCACACUAAUAUUUGUGCAAAGUUUUUUUUUAAUGGGGUUGCGUUAAGUAUCUAAUUUUCUGGGUGAUUAUUUUUUAUUAAAAAUUUUGAUUCAUUUUGUUGAUGAUUAAUUUUUUCUAUUCUUAUAUCAAAUUUUAGUGAAAGAAAUUUAGUAAAAAAAUUAUUAAAUGUAAUUAGUAGAAUUAAAUAAUAUUUUCUUUAAUUGUUUUACACUAUUACUCGUUUCUUAAGAAAAUGGACUAGGUGGAAUAUUAACUAACAUUUUUAAGUAGCACAAAAAUUAAUUAAUUUUACUUGUACUUUAGGCUUAAAAGAGUUUUGAUUACUAUAUACAUGUUGAUUUUUUCACUGUAUAAAUAUACAUAAUAAAUAAUUUAAUUAGAAUAUAUUUUUAAGUCAUCAUAAUAUUAAUAUCUAAUAUAUGAUGGGUAAUAUUUUGUAAUUAUAAUUUUUCAUCCGAAAGUGCAUAAACUAAUAAUAAAUUUAUUCACUUUUAUGAGAUAACAAUUAAUAUCAAUAAAUUUAUUCAUUUAUUUAUUUCUCUGCUUUACUUUCGAGUAUUUUUCAACUUUGCAUUCGUCUAGUUGUGGAAUCCUUCUUAAUAGUACUGUUUUAGAAUUGCUAAGAUGAAGUCAAGUUUUGAAGAAUUGAAGAAGAAGAAGAAGAAAGGCGAAGGAGAGCAUUCGAAGGCAUAAACAUAAAGAAAUUGAAGAUAAUGCGAACCCUUUGCGACGUAUGCGAGAGCGCCGCUGCCAUUCUCUUCUGCGCCGCUGAUGAGGCCGCUCUCUGCUCCGCUUGUGACCACAAGGUUGCUGCUUUCUUCACUCUUUCAAUUUUACUUCUUUUUUCAUCUAUAAUUCAAUGCUUUGAAGAAUUAUUUACACUUUUCCCUGCUUUAUUGAAUUUUAUUUUACUUUUUAUAAAGUGUGUUCAAAGGAGCAACAAAUGAUGCCAAAUUCUGCUUGAAUAUUAUUGUUUCACUUCAAUUUUGGUGUUGGAUCUCAUAAGUAAGCAGUGUGCUCACUCAUUCACAAUUUUUUUCUCAGAUUUUCAUGUUGUUUUUAAUUUGCAUUUACUUCCAGUUUAGAUAUUGCUUGCUGUUGAUGUAAUUUUCUUACCUUCUUUGAGUACGACCAAAAUGAACGAGUUUCUUUUUAAGCGGAUUAACAAAUUUGCUACUAUUAUGUUUCAUUAAUUAUAUUAUAUGGCCUUGUUUGAGUAAACAUCAAUUUGUACACCUAACUUUUAUAGAAGCUCUUUCAUUUAACUUCUCCAAAAGCUUAAGUGCAUAAGUUGAUUUUAGCUUAUAUUGUGAGAAAUUCAACUCAUUUUACCUUCUUAUUGUCUUUUCCUGUAAGUGUUUACGGACAAGUUUAUCUAAACAGGGCCUAUAUCUUUUAAGAUGUUCUUUUACACCAUUGGAUUUUAAAUGCCUUUGAAUUAUUAUUGCAUGGAAUCUUCAUAUGGAGAUUGAUUCACUUAAUCAAAAGAGUUGGAAUUGGGACUCACUUGAAAAUGGCACAAGAAUAUAAGUAGCCAAGCCGGCGAAUGAAAUGAUAUUUUGCACCAGCCAUCUGUACAUACUUUCCUUGCAAAUCUUUUUAUGUUAAGUGAUGCAUCCUACAUGUGAAUUUUAUAUUUUGGAUUGGAUGGGGUAAUAAUUACUAAUACUCACUUAUUUAUGCCUUUUGACAUGUGUUUCUGGUAACGACAUUCAUGUAUAAUUUAAUGGAAGUACCAUACAUUUGCAUGUAAUUUUUUUUCUCUGACAGCAUCGUGUUUGUGGUUUGCAUUGGAGCUACAGAUCCAUAUGUGUAACAAACUUGCUAGUAGGCAUGUUCGAGUUGGCCUUGCUGACCCCACUGAUGUUCCACGCUGUGACAUAUGUGAAAAUGCACCUGGUACUGAAGGGUAUUCAUAUCUUUUUUGCAAGAUUGUGCAUUCUAAACUAUAUAGAAGUUGAACCUUUGUCCCUUGUCAUGGAAAUUUGUAUGUGUAGCUUUCUUUUACUGUGAGAUAGAUGGUAGUUCGCUGUGUCUGCAAUGUGAUAUGAUUGUGCAUGUUGGUGGUAAAAGAACCCAUGGAAGAUAUCUUCUAUUGAGGCAAAGAGCUCAGGUAUGUUUUAGGCUGCAAUGAAUUAUCAAGCUUUCUAGCUUCUGAAUAGAUAUUUUGAAGUUUAUUUAUCUUCGUUUUGGACUUUUUUAUGUCAGUUUCCAGGUGAUAAACCUGCCCAAAUGGAAGAACUAGAGCUGCAACCUAUGGAUCAAAAUGAAUCGAGAAGGGAUGAAAGUCAGUCACUCAAGCUAAAAACAAGAGAUAGUCAGCAGAAUCACAGUGUCUCACCUUUUCCAAGGCAAGAAAAUAAUAUUGAUGGUCAUGGAAAAAUGGAUAAAAAGUUAAUUGAUCUUAAUACCAGGCCACUGCGGUUAAAUGGAUCAGCACCAAACAACCAGGUAAUUUUUUUUUUCUCGUUUUCCAUAUUGAUUUGAGUUCUUGAUUUGUGGGCUGUUUUGUAAUAUGCAUUUCAUAACCCUUGAAUUUAAUUGGUUUUCUUAAGCGCUCAGAAACUACAAAAGUUGUGACACUUGAUUUAGUUGUUGAAUUAACAUAUAGUCUGUUUUUUUAAGGAACAAUGCAUGGAUAUUUUAAGAGGCAAUAAUCAUGAAUCUGCCAGUGUGCCACCAGUAGAAUCCUUCAAACAAGAGUCUGAGAAGUAACAAAGGUACAACAUAUAGGGUGUGCCAGUGUGGGCAGAGGCUACAGAAAUAUUAUGUUUACUCAAAUUUCUUUUACACUGUUGACCUUGUUUAUGUGAAUCUUGUUUUUUUUUUUGCUUAAAAUUUGAAUUGUUUGGCUGCAGACCUAAUUAAUGACGGAAAAUAGUUGCUUUCAUAUGGAUGAGCUGCAUAAACAAGGUUACUACUGCAUAAAUUCGAGGGUAUAACAUAAAUUGUUGUCCAGGAUAUACCACGUUCCUUAAAGCAGCUUAUGUCCAAUGCAUCCUUAAUAUUUUGGUUUUCCUAGUCUGACAGCAGAGGAACUGUUGGUUUUAAUACAAACUUUAUGAUAUUUUAUUACAUGUCUAUAUAUAUAUGAUUCAACCUUCAAAUUGUUGAAAUCUGCUGCCUUCAGUUUCUGUACUAUCUUAAAAGGGACGGAAUGCUAAUGCAUCGGUUAAAGUAAAGACUAUUUAUGGCCCCCCGUAGAAGAGGAACCCUCAUAUUACUCUCCAAAGUCCAAACCCUUGCACCCAGCUAACCGGCCCAAACAAUUAAAAAUGUUCAUUUUAAAAUUAGGGCUAUCAAACUGUCAUGAUUAAUCAUUCUCUAAUAUAAUUUAACAACGUGUAAUGUUUGAAUUAUCCCAAAUUUCAAAGAAAUGUUUCAAUUUUUAGGUUUAGGGGUUACCAAGUAUCUUGGCCAACUAAUCCGCAAAGAUAGGAUUAACAAAGUGUGUUCUUAUAUACUUGAUUCAUCUCAUUUUUAUUUGAAAAAAAUAAUAUUGUAUUUGGGUAUUAUCAGUCCUUUAUAGCCAGCCAACUAAACUAUUUCCAAAAUAUAGGAUUAACAAAGUAUGAAGCUUCUCUAAACAAAACAACUAAGUAUCUUGAAUUAAUUUCAUUUUGUUUUUUUCUAAAAACCGCAUAUCUUUAAUGUUAAUCUAGCAAUUAUUACCCGUUUGGUUUUAUUGUUUAGGGUUUAUUAUUAAUUUAUAUUAAACGUUUUAUAAUAAAACAUUAAUAUAUUAUAUAAAUAAAAUUGUAAAAUAUAACAAGAAUUUGAUUGAAUAGAAGUGUUAGUAAUACAUUUUUAACAAAAGAAUAUUUUGAGUUAUUUUUAUAAAUAAAAUAUUAAUAUGGGUAUUUUUUAAAUAGUUUAAUAGGUAGGUUUAAGGAGAAUAUGACACUUUGAAUUUAUUGGUCAAAAAUAUAAUUUUGACUGAUUAAUGGUCAAAAGGAACUCAUGUUGAUGAAUUAUUUUAACAGAAAUUCAUAUUAGUAUUUUAUUUAUAAAAAAUGAUCCAAAAUGGUCAAUCAUUCCAUUUUUAGCACAUUUUUUUCUACACACUUUUAUUAGUUGAAAUUUAAAAGCACAAAAUUUGAUAGGCUUUGCUUCUUAUGUAAUGAGUUUCAUUCAUCAUUAGAGAGUAUCCAAAUAAAGUUAGAGACUAUGUUAUUAACAUUUAUCUUUAAUUAAAAUACAGACUUAAAUAUAAUUUUCGUCUUCUUAUUUUAUUUCAUCUGUAACUUUAAUCCUUCAAUUUUUAAAAUAGAGACAUUUGAUCCUCAUAUUUUAGAACAUUCACAAUUUUGAUAAUUUUAUUUUAAAAUAGAGACAUUUGAUUUUUUUAAUUUUAAAAAAUUCACAUAGGCAAAAUAGAGAAUUAUGCCAAAAUUAUGAAUUUUUAAAAAAUAGAAAGACCAAAUUUCUAUAUUUUAAAAUAGGAGGACCAAAAUUAUGAAUUUUUUAAAAUAAAAAAUUAAAUGUCUUUAUUUCUAAAUGAAGGAACAAAGUUAUAAAUUGAAUAAAAUUUGAGAACUAAAAUUAUAUUUAAGUUUAAAAUAUACUAAUACCACAAGAGAUUUUUACACUAUUAUAUUACUAAUGUAUGAAAAAUUAUUUAUUUUUGUAAUAUUUACAUUAAAAAUCAUAUCUAAAAUAAUUUUAAUUAGUUGAUGAUGUUAACAUCUUUAUAAUAAUAAAUAUAUCAAAAUUAAACUCAUGUUAUAUAAAAGGACCUUGUAAGUACUAGCUUUGCUCAUUUAUAUAAUAAACAAUUGGAAAUAUCGUUUGGUCGUAACUAUGAGAAAUACUGUAUCACUUUCUAAUUUUUUUAUAUUUACUCAUUUAUAAUAAAAGUAUAUGUAUUUACUAUUUAUUAUGUAUUAAUCAUUUAAGUCAUAUUCAAUUAUGCAUGGGUGAAAAAUAUAAUUUCUUAAAUUAGGAAUUAUAUCAUUAAAUAUAAGUAUAACUGCCAAUUAAAUUAUUUAAUUUCGUGAGUAUUAUUUAAAUAAAUUUUAAAUUUAUAUUAUUUAAAUUAACUAAUUUAACCUUUGGUCUUGAUCAAAGUAGGUCUACUUUUUUGCUGGCAUUUCUGGUCUAUUUGGUUACGAUGGAAUAUCAAUUCCACCAUAGUUUAGGUUCGAACGCCGUUGCCAAAAAAUAGAUACUUGUUUCUUAUUCACGUAGUAUUUUAAUACUUAGUCAAACACGAUAGCAUGAACCCAAAAUUUUUGACAAUUGUUUCUCAACAAGAGAGAUUUUGAUUUUAGCAGAAAAGCAAUGGCAAGUGCGUUGGGUAGCAGAGUUGAAUCUGUUCGAAACUCUCACUUACUAAGCUUUUCGCUCAACUCCAUUAGAUCCUUGAGUUCUUCUUCUUCAUCCGCCGUUUCUUCUGCUCAGAACCCUAAGACUAAGAAAUCGAAGCGAAGAAAGAAGAACUUGUUCGAUGUGGCUCAGUUCUUACCUAACUGGGGAAUCGGCUACCACAUGGCCAAGACUCACUGGAAUGAAGUUUCUUACGAAAUCACUAAAAUCAAUCUCUACAAGGUGAUGCCGAUUUAUUCCUCCGCAUUUCUCACUUCUCAUGAGUAGACUCUCAUUCUUAUUUCAUUUUAUUUUACAGGAUGGAAGACAUGGAAAAGCAUGGGGGGUUGCUUUUAAAAAUGGUUAGUUAGUGUAUUGGAAUUGUUUUGACUUUUGAUUAUUCUGUUUGUUGAAGGUACUGGUAAUCAUGCUGCACUGCUAUUCUUCAAUGAGAUUGUCGGCUAGGCUAAUAAUGCCUUUUUGAAUUCUUACAUUGCCCAUAUUGGAUAAUCAAUCUAUUAUAAACUCUUAACAAAUUGAAUGAUAAGUGCAUAUUUUUUCAUAAUCAAUAAAUAUUUAGGUUUGUGAAAGUGUAGGGAGUUUCUUAUUGAGGACUAAUGGAGGUGUGUGUUUGAGUUUCAUCUGAUUGGGCAAGCUUCAUUGCCUUUUCGAGUUGCAAAUUAAAACAGGUGUGCUUCUGUCAAUUACUAUAUACAUUAUACAAUGACAUGGACAGUAGAAUAGUUCAUUGACUUUCCAUGCUUGUCUCCAUUUCCGAGCAAUGUUGCUUGUCAGAGUUUCUGAUAAUACCAUGCUGCUUAUGGAUUCUCACAUGGGAAUUUGUAGUUUUUACUUGAGUUGGUUUAUGCAGUCACUUAGGAGGUUCUGUUGGAGUUAUUUAUUGCUCAAUUUAGCCUACAUGGUUGUCCUGCUGGGCAUAAUGCCAAAUUGAUUCUUUAAUAUGCGGGCCCCUUGUCUUAAUCUACUUUAAUCAAAACUUUUCCUUUAGAUUUUCUGUCACUAUUUGGAUGCCAAAAAAUUCAACUAGUUCUCCAUUUCAUCUAUUCUGACAGCUACUUAAAACAAGAAUUGUAAAUAUAUUUUUAUGAAUUUUGAUACAAGUGUUGGUAGUAUUUCUAAUGCUAAUAUUUCGAAAGGAACAAGUCUAACAUUGCCUAGGUCAAGAUCCCUUGAAGAGUGUUUUAACACUUAUUUUUGGCUUGUAAGAACUUGCAGAGGAUUGAGCUUGUGUGCACUCCAUUACAUUUGCACCCGUCUCAGUGUUAACUUUCUCUGUUUUUUUCAUUCAUGUCCCAUAUCAAAUUAAUUAUGAUCUGUUAUAAAUCUCAUAAUUAUUGCUUAUAUGACAAUUUUGUUUCUCUUUCUGUUGCUUGGUAGAACUUGGAAGCUUUAUUUGAUAAAUUCUCAAUGUGAAUAUUGUGUGAAGCAUAAUGUACCAAAAACAAAGUGUAUAUUGUAUGAAGCAUUGUGUGAAUACUGAAGCAUUUUUUAGUACUUGUUUUCUGACUUGACUUGAUAUCAUUCAACCUAUUGCAGGCUUGCCAUUAGCAGAUGCUCCAAAAAAAAUUAGUGGAGUUCACAAGCGCUGUUGGAGAUACCUACCAAAUGUAGUAAAAGAAUUAGAAAGUUCAACAAACUUAAUGAGUUCCGCAGACAGUGACUUUGGGUUUUUAGGUCAUCGACAUUAGCCCGUCCAUGUCUUUUCAAUUUGGCUUAGUUGUUUUCGAUAAUGGUAUCGUUUCUUAGUAGAUCAUGUAAUAUUCCUUACGCAUUCAUGCAAGGUGCUUAAUUAAGUUUCUUUCUUUUUGAUUUUUAAUUAGAUAAAUGAACUCUCGACCAUGCAACGUGCUUUGAGGGAAUAAUCUGGGUGGAUUUGGUUCUUACUUUCUUUGUGUUUGUCUUUGGCCUAUUUUAUAUCCAUCCUAGUAAAUAACUAAAACUAUAUAUUUAACAGGUUAGUUAUUAGUUGGUGUUUUGAUUGUAGGUGUGGACUUUGUGCGAACACAAUUUGCUAUCCAUAUCUUUCAGUGAUGCUCAUUUAAAUUCAUCUACGUACAUGAUCAAAAGUGCUUCUGUGAAGCUAUUAGAAUUGGAUUAGCCACGAAGGAUGGAGAUAAUUUGCAUAAGAUGAUAUGGUUAAAUUUGAUCAAGUGACUAUACAUGCUAGCACAUGAAGAAAAAAUAGUGACACCUUGACUUCAUAAUAAGCUGAACCUUCAGUGCUUCGUUAAUCAGUUUCAGUUCACCCGAUAUGGGUUCACUAAUGCAACAGACACAAGGCCAACACAAGUCUUGUACUCUUGUCCUAAUUGGGUGUGAGUUGGGUAGUAAAAAUAUAUGUACCAGUGAUUGUCAUAACAAAUAAAUAACGACGACAUACAAUUGUCUUGGAAGAGCUUCUCAGCAAUACCAAAUUCAACCAGCAAAUAGUGCAAUGGAUCAUGCCGCUAUAUUCCUCCCACAGAUCAUUUAACGGGUUUUUUCAAUUUCCACACAUUUUUAAUGGGUUUUUUCAUUGAUUGCCGAGAUUCAACCAUGUUAUAUUGAGACAAUCAAUCAAGUACACAACUCACAGCAAAAAGGUUUAUAAGCUGUAAAGGUACAUGUAACCAUAAACAAAAAUAGUCUCCAAGACUAUAAAAACAUUACAUUUUAGACAAAUUAGUCUUCUUCCACUUCAUCCUCCGUCAACACCUACUACAACUGCUGGUGUUGCUGCUGCCUAACAUGUAUCAUAUUCACUACAAACAUCUUAGUAGGAGUAGCCUUUGACGAACAACUCCUUCUUGGCUUCCUCAGAUUCACCCUCACCGGUGUACUUCCCAAGCUGGGCGAGCGAGUUGGACUUGGCACGGAAAAGAAGUGCAUCUUGUGCCGCCUUCACAUUCUCUGGGCGGCCUCCCCAUGUCUUCAAGGCAGUGUUUUGGAGGGCUCUGGCAUACGAGAACGACACGUGCCACGGGUUUGGAGAUUGGUUCAUGGCAUUCAAGUUGAGGGUAGCUUCAACCUCAGACUGUCCACCAGACAAAAACUGCAUAGCACAGGAUUGGUUAAUUAGCACAUGAAAGGGAGGGAAGUUAGGAAUGCAAAGAAUGAUGAUGCAUUUGGCAUUACCAUAAUUCCAGGGACAGCAGGGGGAAUUCUCCUGUGAAGGAGCUUGAGGGUGUAAUCAGCAACUGUCUGAGGACUGGCCUUGUCCUUGGACUCAGCUCCAGGUGUAACCAUGCUAGGCUUAAGAAGAAUACCCUCAAAAAGGACAUUGUUCUCAGCAAGGUAGAAGAAAACCUCUGCCCAGACCUUUUUUGCUACUUCAAAAGUUCUGUCAAUACCAUGCUCCCCAUCAAGCAAGAUCUCUGGCUCCACAAUUGGGACCAAUCCAUUGUCCUAAAACAACCAUUAGAUGAAAACAUUAGAAAUUUAUAGAUCCUCUUCCUAGGUUUAUAUAAAAAAAGUAUCCUACCUCACAUCAUCUAUAAAUAGAAGUGUAACAAAAAAUGAAAUUAUUAAUAUAACUUGAGUGGUAUUUCUCACCUGAGCAAUUGCGGCAUAGCGAGCCAGACCCCAGGCUGCUUCCUUAACUGCCAGAGCAGAGGGACCGUUGGGGAUGCUCACAACAGUACGCCUGAUAUGGAAUUGGGGAUUGGUAUAAUAUGAUGAAAAAGAUGAGCAAGAUGUACAGCACAAGAAAAGGAGGGCAUGGAAUUAUGAAAAUGAUUUUGCUGCCACCACCACCACAAAGGGGGGGAAAUUAGCACUCACCAUUUGGCGAAACGGGCACCUUGCUGGUAGUAUGCAGCCGAGCGAGAGGCAAGACCAUCAAGACCUUGGCACCAUGACUCAUCGUUGGAACCAGCAAGGGGUACCAAACCCUGUUGUUCACGGCACAUAAACCACGCGUUAGUGCAUACAAUGCCAUACAUAUUCAAAUUCUCCCUUUUGAGUUUAACUUCAAAAUUUUCACUAUUAUAGACUACAAAAAGCUAAUCUCCAGUAUGUUACAACUAACUAGUGUUUAUGUGAGGCAUGUGACAUCUUUCCAUAUGGCCACUCUAACAAAUAUCUGGAUGAUUGAUAGUACAAUUAAACAUAAGUACAUAUCAUAUUGGCAUCAAAACUAGUGCUUAUUCUUUUCCAUUAUUAUUUCAGGCAAGGCACAGACUGAAAUGGCAUUUAACUACAUAGAAAGGAAAGGGAAGGAUAGGGUGAUUCCAAAAUCCAAAAGGCUUACCUUGUCGACUUUAAUACCGGGAACAAUGUUUUGCUCGAGGAGCACGUCAACAAUCUUCCUGCCAUCAGUUGUGGAUUGGUAGAGAGUUUCCUCAAAGAGAAUGGCACCAGAGAUGUACUGACCAAGUCCUGGAACUGUCACAAGGAGGGUACGGUACGCCUGGCGGUUAGCUUCAGUGUUCUCUAGCCCAAUUGAAGCCAAACGCUUCCCACAGGUAGCAUUGGACUCAUCCAUGGCCAAAAUACCCCUCCCUGGUGAAGCCACUGUUUUCUGUUUCCACACAAACAAGCAAGAAAACACACAGCAAAAUAUUAUUGCAUCAACAAUGUGAAAACCAUUACUUAGGGGACAAACAAGGACAGCUGCAAAGAUUUAUUUGGCUUCUUAGAUAAAGAGAAACAUACUUCAGCAAAUAAAGUGUGUAUAAUUGCUGGUUAGAAAAUUUUCAUAAUCACUAUACUUAUGCAUGUAUUUAAUCAUAAUCUCAAUUGUGACAAUUAUAACUACACUUUAUCCACUAAAUUCCUACAAAGCCAGUGUGAAAACAAAAAUAACUCAGCAGCGCGAAGAAAAUGGAUUAUGGGUGUGAAAUGAAUAGUUCAAUUAAGUUUUGUUACAAGAUGCUUUUAAUAUUUGAAUCUUAAAAACUUUUCCAUUAGUACUUGAGAAGCUAAAUUGAACAUAUUCAGUUUCUCUAUAAGCUAAAAUGAACUUAUGCUUCUUGUUAACUUUUGAAGAAGUUAAAUGAGAAAGGCUGAUAUAUAAAAGUUAAGUGCAUAAGUUAAUUUUAGUUUAUGCGAGAGAAUAGGAAGUUGUUUAUUAUUAUUAUCAUACCGCGGUCUUAACGAGCUCAUCAGCAUAGGAACCAGCUCUGAUUGUGAGGCCUGAUGGGGUGGUGGGGUUGCAUCUCACAACUGAUGCAGCAGAAGGUUGGCGAAGUGUUUGUCCCUUCACCCACUCAGACUUGUCAAGAACAAGUGAAGACUUGAGAAGAGAUGCUGAUGCAGAGGCCAUUGUUCACUGCAGGUGUUAGGCACUUAGCACUACUUCAAUAUCUUAUCUCCUACAGCAACCUUUGUAGUUGUAUGCACCUCUUUACUACACAUUCACAGCUUUCACUUCAUUUAUAGUUCUCAAGUGAUGUCUCGUUUGAGGCUGCUGUGAGCUAACCUAUCCUCACUUGACAUGUGGACGAUGAUAACUUCAGCCUUCUUCCUUCCUUCCCAUUCUCCUUUGCCAUUUAUUUCGUGGUUCAAAUGGAUGGAUUUUUUCAAGCCUCGUAAAAAUUACUUGGAAAAUAGAAAAAAAUAAAACAGAGAUAUUUUUUUUCCCAAGUCGUGACAAAUGUAUUACAUGCACCAAAAAGGGUACCAAUUAUUGUUGUCUGUAGAGGGAAGGAAACGAUCAAAGAAGUAUGAGGUUAUAAUUUACAUUGCUGAUUAACUGUUUUGUCUCCUUGUUACUGAUUUAUGGUCUUGGUUCAAUGAUAAGAUGUUGUCAAAAGUGGAUGAACAAUCAGUAUGACCAAUUUAUUCAGAGGGUACUUUAAGCUUCCUUGUUAAAUUCUAUUUAGCGUAUUAUUUAUGUUUCGUAUUUCUUAACAGUGUAAUACAUUGAUCUUUCCCUUUCUCAUGAAUUUAUGAGAAUACCAUGAUAUAGGAAUCAAAUUAAAUUGAUUGAAUAACACCUGCUGUUGCUUGAAUUUUGCAUCCACUAAGUGGGAUAUUAAGCACACGCUUUAUGUUUUGUGCAGCUCAACCUAUCACCUAUAAUAUGAAGCGAAACUGGAUCUAGGAACCGUUGAAAGAAAAAAUUAAUCAGGGUCAUCUAUAGUUUUGACUUUUGAUGCAUUCACAUUGUGCUUGAGAAGGAGACUAGGGUCAUCUGUUACUUCAUUGAUUUGUUUCAUUUUGUCUUUCAAAUGAUGAGCAUUCCCAAUUGCCUUAUAAAUCUUGAUGUCACCCAUUUAGAGAAGAAUGUUGUUAACUAGUGCCCUAAUGAUAUUAAUUAAAAAAUUACAAAUAGAAAGUUUUUAUUGGCAUUUAUAUUAGAAAUGCAUUGGAAAUCAUAACAAAUAUGCAUUGAUGAUUUUUUUUUAAUGAAAAUUUCUCAUUUUUUACUGCUUAUCGGCACUUGUUACCAUUUGUCUUUAGAGAAAUAAAUAAUCGGUCAAAAUUGAACUUACAAAUUUACAAUCCUUACAAGUCAACGCAUCUAUAACUUACUUUACACUAAUAUCAGAACUACUUUUGUUUCACAUGUCUUUUCCUGUACUUCCAUAACUCAUCCUUUUUUCUCUUCGGUUUCACAACGCCCAUCUUAUUUCUAACUACACCAAUCAUGGAUCUCCUAUCCUUUCUGUUUUUAAUUGCAGCUUUAGCAUCCAGAACUGCCCGAAGCUUCUGGUAUGAAUCGACAUCCAUCACCUGCCCACUCUUGACCAUCUCCUGGUGAUAAAAAAAUGCCUGGCUAAAAUCUCGAACACGGAGAAAUGCAUAUAUCAUAGUUGAAUAAGUUACAGAAUCUGGCUUCAAGUUAUGAGCUGCCAUCUCUUCCAACAACUCUGGCAGCUUUGAGUGUCGCCCUCCUCGUGCAUAUGCAUUCAUCAGCAUAUUGUAUGUCAUCACUGUUGGGUGCAAUCCAACAUUUGCAAAUUUAGAUAUUACAUCUCUUGCUUCCUUGUAGUAACCAUGUUUAGCAAAACCAUCAACAAGAGUGUUGAAUGUGACACGUGUUCCUUCAACUUUUUCCCUCCUCAUCAACUUCCAUAUUUUCAUCAAUGUUUGGGUGUCACCGGCACGUCUAAAUGCAUCUAGUAAAGCAGUGUAGGUUUCUAUGGAAGGUUUAAUGCCUUCCCUUUGCAUGUUUUCAAAUGCUGCAUAAGCUUUCUCAUGCCAGCCACUAACUGAAUAUGCAUGGAUCAGAGCUGUAUAAGAAUGUGAAGUGGGUUUAAUACCGUCUUUCUUCAUCUUCAAGAAUGCAUCUGCAGCCAUGUCACUCAUAUUUUUCUGCUUCCCAUAUGCACUGAUUAUACAAGUAUAUGAUUUGGCAUUUGGCUUCAAGCCAGUUUCCUGCAUUUCAGCCAUCAGCUUCUCUACAAUCUCAGGUUGCAUUUUUCUGCUGUAUGCAUACAUUAGAAUGUUGAAUGUAGCUUCAGUGGGCUUAAUCCCUUUAGUUUUCAUCUCAACAAAGAGGCCUUCAGCUUCUUCUACACGGUUGGAUUUACAAUAUGCAUCCAUCAGGGUGUUGUACACAAUUGUAUUUGAAGAAACCCCUUUCUUCUCCAGUUCAGAUAGGAUGAUGAGAGCUUCACUCAUCAAACCCUCAACACAAAAUGACUUUAUUAGUGCACCUAGGACUUCUUCACCCCAUUUGACUCCUUUUCCAUUCAUUUUCUCAAAAAAUUGCCAUGCAUCCUUUGCACUAUGGCCAAGUUUUCUCAUAACGAUAACCAUAAUAGAACAUGUCACAUGAUCUGGAAGAACAUUAUCUGCUUCCAUUGACUCAUACACCUUCCAAGCAUCUUCAUACCUAAAACAAUGAGGUAGACUUCAACAAUAAACUCUUAAAAUAUGUGGUAUAUCAGGAGAGGGGGCGGGGGGUGGGAUGCUGCCCUAAAACAUUUGUCAGAGUAGGGAGAGAUGAAAUAUCUUUUGUUUUUCAACACUGUUUGCUAUACAAGAAUUAAAUAUGUUAAUUUCACAGUUUUUAAGUUUGGAAGCAGCACAGGGAACCAAUACAGCUGAGGUAACUUGAAAUAUCUUAAUUCUCUGACAAGUAGCCAAGGAAAUUUCAUAGAUUGUAUAGUUGUUCAUAGGCUUCUUAAUAACAAACUAACCAAGAAACCUAGUACAAAACAAGCCCAAGAGGUUAAAUAAAGGACUCCAUCCAUCUGCCAUAAUGGAAAAACUGAACUAGCAUGAAAAGACUUCAUGGCAAAACUGAUGUACGUACUAGUACACUUAAUGUUCAUGUCAUAACAUUGUCUGGUUUAAUGUCAACAUUGAUCAGAAUUCUCGGUAAAAGAUGAUGCAAUAUGUCAUUUCCAGUGUUUUAGACAUAUACUAAUUAAGAAUGGGCAUGCUUUAUACCACUGCUUGGAUAACAAGCCUAUAGGCUAUAGCACAUUGGUCAUUUCUUUACUUUCCAUGAUAAUUAGAAGAAUUAUAACAGUGAAACAAGUGAACUAGUGUAUUAUUUAAUUAAAUGUGUAACAUUCUAUUCCUAUCUAAGCAAAAGUAACAAACUACUACUUGACUUGCAUUUUAAGCAGCUGAGAGAAAAAAAGCAAAGCACCACACAUGAUUUUGCAAGAAUAUAUUUUACCUGGCACUAGAAAGAAGGCCUGAAAUUGCAGCAUUAUAAACAUGAGAAUCUCUAAACUCCCUGCUAGAUGGCAAGUUUGUGAACAAAACCAUCAACUUAUCACCCAUCUUUGCUUUCCCCAACAAAGGAAACAACACAGUGCAAGCCCGAGGAGUAACAAGUGACGGUUCCUGCGACCUCAUCCACUGAAAGAAAUACAAACAACACACCAGAAGUUGCUCAUCCCCAAGUAAUUUCAAAACCUCCCAACACUCUUUCUCACUAACCCUUCUUCCUUCAUACUCAGCCAAAGCCUCCUCCAGAGUUAGAUUUUGUGGCAAGUUCCUUGCAAGCUGAACAAUCUCUCCCACAAUGCCCUCAGGCAAAGGCAAAGCCUUCUUCUGAAACACCGUUUUUUCCUUCUCUUCAAUCAAACCCAUUUCAGGUUCUUCUUCUUCUUCAAUAAGGUCAGAAGCAAGGUGCCAUGAAAUGCGACGGUUCUUCUGAAGGGACAAUUUUCCUUCUUUUCCAGGGUCUUGGGAAGAAAACCGAGUGCGGGUUUUGAAGAAUUUGUAGAUUGGAUCAUCUGGGUCAUACUCUUGUUCUUCUACUAUUGUUUCUAUGCCCUCUCCUUGUUCAUGAUUUUCUGGUUCUAGUUGUCGGAGAUAUGGGAGGAAAAUGGGGGUGUUGGAUGGUGAUGCACAAAGACAUAGGGUUUUGGAGACUGAGAAGGUUGAGGUUUUGGAGUGUGUGAGAGAGAAAGGUUUUGAAAGUGUAUGAAAGUGAAUUUGGUGUGAAAUGAAAGGGUGAUGAAAGUAAGAAGAAGGUGUGAGGUUGAGAGCCAUGGUUGGCUUGGUUUUGCAAGUUCAAGUGCAAAGGUUAUCUUGUUCUUUAACGUCGUUUUUGACCCGGUGGGUUUUGAGACCCGGACCGGUUCACUUAUUAUUACUUAUUAGUAUUUAGUAUCAUUUUUUAUUAAAACAACGUCGUUUUUGGCUAAAGGGACGCGGAUUCGAAACACCAGUCUCAUCCUUCAACCCUAGUACCGUGGAGCCACCCUUUGUCCACCGUGGUCGUCGUUGAAGGAGGUCGUCAACCGCAAGUUGCAGCCGCACCAGGUUGGCCUCACCACUGAGAGAAACAAAUUUAAUUGUUAUAUGAAAUUGUUCACACUUGAUUCCUCUGUUGCUUAGGUUGCUCUAAAUUAUUUACUACUUCUUUUGAAUCCUCUGUUGCUUAGUUGUGCAGAAUCAGGAAUCAUUGCUGUGCUUGUGAACACUAUUUUUUUUAUUCGUUUUCUUUUACUGCCAAACUUGAACCUCAUUUUUGGUCCUUGGUGGUGCUUCCAAGUCAUUCAUAAAUGGCAUGAAAGAUUUGAGUGGCAUUUGGCCAUUUUAUUAUUUGUGUUUCAAAUGACGCUUUAAUCUUAAUUUCUUGAUCUAAUAAUACAAGUUGAGAAAUUGUGCUUUUGUGGAUUUCAAAAAUGAGAUUGUGGCAUCUCAACUGUCAAGCACAACGGCAACUAAAUGGGUAUUAUAAAUUGAAUCAUUUGCAUACUUUUCUUUUUUCUUUUUAAUUUCAAAUAUUGUAAUAAUUUGGCUUCAUAUUCUAAUAGAUAGCCUUGGUUUAUAGUAUUAUUGUUUGGCUUUUACAUUGAAGUAAUCUGUUCUGAUAUGUUUUUUAAUGGGUUCCUUAUGUUGCAACACUAUAUAGAAAAUACAUAUAAAUAAAUAAAGCAUCUUCAAUUCUAUAUUGACAUGUGCCUUGGAUCAUGCGCCUUUUUUUUGCAUUUUGUUUUUCAAAAACAACACUCAUCUUCUUCCCUCUAAAUUCCUCAUAAAGGUGCAAAACAAAACGUCAUCAGCUUUGGAAACCCUAGCGUGAGGCAACAUCAAGUGUAGCAAUGGUUGAUGUCCAUAAGUUGAUUUGCCAAACCUGUAACAACGUGGGUGUUGGUGAUGGUUCUGAUGGCUUUUUCUACUGCCUUCGCUGUGGUUCUCAAUGCGAGGAUGUGAUGGACACCGCUGUUGAUGACGAUGAUCUCUUCAACAAGAGUGCUGUCUACUUGCCUAGUCACCAACGCCAGCGAUCUGUUGCAAUCAAAGCCGAGCCCAUCUCUCAGUAUGACUCCUUUUACGAUUCCCACUCCAAUUUCAUUAGGAAUCUGGGUUUAGAAGAUGAAAAUCCUCAACGAAAUGAUCAUGUUCAAGUUAAAAGAGAGGAGGAAUUUGACGCUGCCCAGUUUGAUGAGGCAAGUCCUUCUGUUCCUGCUGAUUUUGGUGGCUCCCAAGUUGCAUGCUUUGAAGACUACCACAAUGAGAUAAGGAUGCGGUAUGUGAUGGGGUUGCAGAUGAUGAUUGAGCUUCAGUGUGAAGCGCUGGUGAAGGAGUUUAAGGUGACCCCUUUAAUUUGUGGCUUGGUUGGCCCAAUUUGGUUGAGGUUUGUCUCCAAGACUGGCAUUUUCGGUGAUGACUGGGCUGAUAAAGUAAUCCAUGACUCUGAAACGCAGAAUGAAGGUAAAAUGAUGUUUUAUCUCUUAUAUUUCUACAUUUAAAUUACAAUACAUGUACCCUUUUUUGUUGCAUGGUUUGGUUCUUUAUGUUCCAGUCAAUUUCUCAAUGUACUUGUCAAUGCUUAUUUGUGGUUCAGGAUUGACCAUAAAGUUCCAAUUCUUGCUUUAUUUGCUUGUGACAUAUUUGGGGCAUUACUUGUCUUGUUCAUCAAAGGUUCACUAAUGCUUUCUGUUUGUAUUAAAAGUUCACGAAACCUUAUAAUUAACUGAAAAAUUUACUCAUUAGCAUAUUGUAUAUGAUUAGUUGCAACUCAAUUUGGUUCAUUAAGCUUGGAUUUGACCCCUUAAUUAUCAAAUGUAUUGUAAUAGCAGCAAGAUAAGAGGAUUAGCUUGUUAAUGAAGUGUGUACUAUAGUUUUUCAACAGUUGGAAGAUACUUACCAUAUUUCCAUCAAGCCUAUCUAAUAGUUUAUUUCUGCAUUGUUCUCAGAUGAACCAGAAGAUUACAAGUUACGUGCUAAAUACAGAACAGAGCCCCACAAUAUGUUUGGCAAGCGAGCUGUCAUGAUAUGGUUUAGGUCUUUAAAGAAAAGGAUUCCACUACCUUGUACUGUUGCUGUUUCAUUUCUGGCAUGUCAUGUAGCCAGGGAAGCUGUCCUGCCAUCUGACAUGAUGAAGUGGACACUUGAAGGGAAGCUUCCAUAUUUUUCUGCUUUUGUUGAAAUUGAAAAGCGCAUGGGACAACCAACAAGUGCAUGUCCUAUUAGUUCAAGUGUUAUGUUCAGGCCCCAACAAGCUAUUCCAGUACAGAAGCUAGAGUCAUUUGCUGCAUCCAUUGCUCAGUUCAUAGGCUUGGAGUUACCUCCCGUGAACUUUUAUGCUAUAGCUUAUCUUUUUCUUCAAAAGUUAUCACUGCCUGUUGAAAAGAUUCUUCCUUAUGCAUGCCGCAUAUAUGAAUGGUCGAUGCCUCCUGAUUUGUGGUUAUCCUUAUCCAGUAAUUAUUUUAGGCUACCUACUCAUGUAUGCGUUAUGUCAAUUCUGGUAGUAGCAAUAAGGAUAUUGUAUAACAUAAAUGGCUUUGGAGAGUGGGAGAAGAGUUUGUCUCGUGAUGAUGAUGCCAAAGACAACAGUGAAAUGGGUAAUGCUUUUGCCUCUGAUAAUGGACAUGAUUUUGGUAAAGAAUCUAAAGAUUCAGCUGAAGAUCAAGUAGGAUCUCAGAAACACGAAUUGGAUUCUGCCUGGCUUCUCCAACAUCUUCAAGCAAGAUAUAAUGAGAUUGCAGAUACCUAUGGUGAAGUUUUUGUUUACUUAUAUUAUUAUAUUUAACCAAACCUAUGUUGCACGAGUUGAUAUUCUAUUUUCGUCCUAUUUUUUACAACAAUUAAAUGACUAUCUAACAUCCAGUAUUUAUGGACAGGGUAUUCAAAGGACUUGGCUACAUAUCUCAAAUACUGUAGGGAUGUUGUCUUUGCUGGAUCAGAACCAUCUUAUGGUAAUCACGAGGAAGAAAAAAUGAUAGAAUACCUAUGGAAAUUUUAUCAGAAUGAAGAGGUAAUUAAAGAAUUGAGCUAGUUAUUCUAUUGAUAUGCACAGGCCUUUAGAAUUAGGAUGUCUUGGAAUUACUUUCAAGUUUAAACUUCUUUUUUUCUUCUUAUUUCCUGGGAUAUGUUAAGAAAGAAGUAGCGCCUCUGCCUGUGCUCUUUUGUCUAUGGGACAUGGCUCGGCUGUUCAUGAUUUUCAAUUUCUUUCCCAGUGAAGCUUGGAAAAUAAAUUGGCUACAUCACUGUUUCCUAAAGUAAAGGACGUCGAAAUUCAAGAAAAAUAUCAUGAAUGAACUAUUGUCCCCACGGACUUAUUUCCUCAGAUCAAAUUUGUACAAAAUAGAAUAAAGAGAAGAAUUUAUUUUCUUUUUCCUGCGGAAAUGAAGGGACUCAAUCUAGUGCCAGCCAUUUAUCUAUCUUUAAAUUUCUCUAAAAACUUUUGUUUUGAUGAAAGUGAUUGAGAGAAAUUUCUAGAAGAUGGCAUGUUGCUUGUUACUUUUACAUAUUGUUAUUAUUAUUUGAAUACAUUUACUUGGUUCAACAAUCAAAAUUACGACAUACCUGAUUCCUGUAAGUAAUGCUCAUAUAUUCAUGGGUCAACUGAUAUGUCACUGCUAGUACCUUCACUCACUGAAGGUUUGUUGUGCUCUAACGAUAUGUAAUUGGAAUCAGUGAAGGGCUGUACAUUCAUAUUCUCUUAAUGAAAUCUUGUAGUUAUAGAUGCUCAUAUAGUGAGUGCAGAAUUUAUGGAGAUAACAUUAAUGAAGAUCUCCUACAUGAAUAUUUUCCUCCAAAUAUUAUGGUUAUAUAUAUAAAAAAUUGUAUUCCAUCAUCUCCUAAAUGUUAUAUGUUGGGCAGAUUUUAUUAAAUAAAAAUAUUUUUUUGUCUAUCUGCCUUGGUAUGUCUAGUUUCCGGGAGUUGUUUUUGUUGUCUGAGUACAUCAUGAAGAAUGUCUGUCAAAAUGUGUUGUAUAACACUUUCUCCUUUUUCUGUUUUAGGAUACAAAACCAUCAGAAAAUGUAGAGCAGUCAAAUACUUCUUUCAACCAAACGAGUUCCAGGGAUAAAGGAUGCAUUGGCAAGAUAUCCAAGGAGGAAAAGAUUAGAAAAAAAGGUUUUAAUGAACUCUUUCCUGAUGAUGACACCAGCCUUGAAGAUGUGAGCAACAAUAAUUCCCAUGAGAGUUUGUCAGACAGUGAAGACUCAGAUUCCCAAGAGCACAGUUCAGGAAAAUCUCAUGUCAAGGAAGCCAUUAGACAGAUGAAAUUAGAGAUGGAGGAGAACAGAUUUUAUUAUAUACCACCUAGUGUCAAGCGAAAAAGACUUGAUUAUAUUCACUAUGUGAGAAAGAGGGACGAAGGUGCGCUGACUUAUGUUGCUCAUGCUGAUUAUUACAUUUUGCUUCGGGCUUGUGCCAGGAUUGCACAAGUUGACAUUCGGAUUUUGCAUAUUGGUGUGUUGAGACUUGAGAGAAGACUUGCUUGGUUGGAAAAACGGAUUGAUCAAUGCUUACAUUCCAAACCAACUAGCAUUUCUUGUCAAUUUUGUUGUAAUAAGGCCACGGAAAAUGGAUCUGAUGGUCUUCCUGGAUUAUCAAAUUUGAAUAUUUGAGAAUUGAUAGUUUAACUUUAAGAAAUAGUAGAAUGGAGGAAGGAUGCUCCGAUUCCUUCUUUUUUUUUUCUUUUGAUUUUCAAUUAUUCAUACAAGAAUAAAUAUUAGGAAUAAGAUAAGAGGAUGAGAACCAAAGAAAAAUUAAAAAGGAUGAAACGACACUUGGUUUUUCAUAAUCAAUAAAUAUUUAGGUUAAUGAAAGUGUAGGGAGUUUCUUAUUGAGGACUAAUGGAGGUGUGUGUUUGAGUUUCAUCUGAUUGGGCAAGCUUCAUUGCCUUUUCGAGUUGCAAAUUAAAACCGGUGUCCUUCUGUCAAUUACGAUAUACAUUAUACAAUGACUUGGAAAGUAGAAUCGUUCAUUGACUUUCCAUGCUUGUCUCCAUUUCCGAGCAAUGUUGCUUGUCAGAGUUUCUGAUAAUAACAUGCUGCUUAUGGAUUCUCACAUGGGAAUUAGUAGUUUUUACUUGAGUUGGUUUAUGCAGUCACUUAGGAGGUUCUGUUGGAGUUAUUUAUUGAUCAAUUUAGCCUACAUAAUUGUCCUUCUUGGCAUAAUGCCAAAUUGAUUCUUUAUUAUGCGGGUCCCUUGUCUUAAUCUACUUUAAUCAAAACGUUUCCUUUAGAUUUUCAGUCACUAUUUGGAUGCCAAAAAAUUCAACUAGUUCUCCAUUUCAUCUAUUCUGAAAGCUACUUAAAACAAGAAUUGUAAAUAUAUUUUUAUGAAUUUUGAUACAAGUGUUGGUAGUAUUUCUAAUGCUAAUAUUUCGAAAGGAAAGUCUAACAUUACCUAGGUGAAGAGCCCUUGAAGUUUUAACACUUAUUUUUGGCUUGUAAGAACUUGCAGAGGAUUGAGCUUGUGUGCAUAAGUUCGGUCGAAGGGUGCCACAUUUGCACUCCAUUGCAUUUGCACCCGUCUCAGUGUUAACUUUCUCUGUUUUUUUCAUUCAUGUUCCAUAUCAAAUUAAUUAUGAUCUGUUAUAAAUCUCGUAAUUUUUGCUUAUUUGACAUUUUUGUUUCUGUUGCUUGUUAGAACUUGGAAGCUUUAUUUGAUAAAUUCUCACAGUGAAUAUUGUGUGAAGCAUAAUGUACCAAAAACAAAGUGUAUACUGUAUGAAGCAUUGUGUGAAUACUGAAGCAUUUUUUAGUACUUGUUUUCUGACUUGACUUGAUAUCAUUCAAUCAAUUGCAGGCUUGCCAUUAGCAGAUGCUCCAAAAAAAAUUAGUGGAGUUCAAAAGCGCUAUUGGAGAUACCUACCAAAUGUAGUAAAAGCAUUAGAAAGUUCAACAAACUUAACUAGUGCAGUAAACAGUGACUUUGGAUUUUUAGGUCAUGGACAUUAUCCCAUCCAUGCCUUUUCAAUUUGGCUUAGUUGUUUUCAACCAUGGUAUCAUUUUUUAGUCGAUCAUGUAAUAUUCCUUACGCAUUCAUACAAGGAGCUGAAUUCAGUUUCUUUCUUUUAGAUUUUUAAUUAAAUAAAUGAACUCUCGACCAUGAAACGUGCUUUGAGGGAGUAAUCUGGAUGGAUUUGGUUCUUACUUUCUUUGUGUUUGUCUUUGACCUAUUUUAUAUCCAUUCUAGUAAAUAACUAAAUCUAUAUAUUUAACAGGUUAGUUAUCAGUUGGUGUUUUGAUUGUAGAUAUGUACUUUGUGAAUGAACACAAUUUGGUAUCCAUAUCUUUCAGUGAUGCUCAUUUAAAUUCAUCUACGUACAUGAUCAAAAGUGCUUCUGUGAAGCUACAAAAAUAGUGAUCAAGAGACUGUACAUGCUAGCACAUGAAGAAAAAAUAGUGACACCUUGACUUUAUAAUAUGCUGAACCUGCAGUGCUUCGUUGAUCAGUUUCAGUUCACCUGAUAUGGGUUCACUAAUGCAACAGACACAAGGCCAACACAAGUCUUGUACUAUUGUCCUAAUUGGGUAUGAGUUGGGUAGUAAAAGUAUAUGUACUAGUGAUUGUCAUAAUAAAUAAAUAUCGACAACAUAAAAUUGUCUUAGAAGAGCUUCUCAGCAAUACCAAAUUCAACCAGCAAAUACUCCAAUGGAUCAUGCUGCUAUAUUCCUCCCAAAGAUCAUUUAAUGGGUUUUUUCAAUUUCAACACAUUUUUUAAUGGGUUUUUUCAUUGAUUGCCGAGAUUCAACCAUGUUUGUUAUAUAUUGAGACAUAAUCAAUCAAGUACACCACUCACAGCAGAAGGUUUAUAAGCUGUAAAGGUACAUGUAACCAUAAACAAAAAUAGUCUCCAAGACUAUAAAAACAUUACAUUUUAGACAAAUUAGUCUUCUUCCACUUCAUCCUCCGUCAACACCUACUAUAACUGCUGGUGUUGCUGCUGCCUAACAUGUAUCAUAUUCACUACAUACAUCUUAGUAGGAGUAGCCUUUGACGAACAACUCCUUCUUGGCUUCCUCGGAUUCACCCUCACCGGUGUACUUCCCAAGCUGGGCGAGCGAGUUGGACUUGGCACGGAAAAGGAGUGCAUCUUGUGCCGCCUUCACGUUCUCUGGGCGGCCUCCCCAUGUCUUCAAGGCAGUGUUUUGGAGGGCUCUGGCAUACGAGAACGACACGUGCCACGGGUUUGGAGAUUGGUUCAUGGCAUUCAAGUUGAGGGUAGCUUCAACCUCAGACUGUCCACCAGACAAAAACUGCAUAGCACAGGAUUGGUUAAUUAGCACAUGAAAGGGAGGGAAGUUAGGAAUGCAAAGAAUGAUGAUGCAUUUGGCAUUAC